rnacentral:rRNA from 1 species
AUUGAACGCUGGCGGCAGGCCUAACACAUGCAAGUCGAGCGGAAACGAGUUAUCUGAACCUUCGGGGAACGAUAACGGCGUCGAGCGGCGGACGGGUGAGUAAUGCCUAGGAAAUUGCCCUGAUGUGGGGGAUAACCAUUGGAAACGAUGGCUAAUACCGCAUGAUGCCUACGGGCCAAAGAGGGGGACCUUCGGGCCUCUCGCGUCAGGAUAUGCCUAGGUGGGAUUAGCUAGUUGGUGAGGUAAGGGCUCACCAAGGCGACGAUCCCUAGCUGGUCUGAGAGGAUGAUCAGCCACACUGGAACUGAGACACGGUCCAGACUCCUACGGGAGGCAGCAGUGGGGAAUAUUGCACAAUGGGCGCAAGCCUGAUGCAGCCAUGCCGCGUGUAUGAAGAAGGCCUUCGGGUUGUAAAGUACUUUCAGUCGUGAGGAAGGCGGCGUCGUUAAUAGCGGCGUUGUUUGACGUUAGCGACAGAAGAAGCACCGGCUAACUCCGUGCCAGCAGCCGCGGUAAUACGGAGGGUGCGAGCGUUAAUCGGAAUUACUGGGCGUAAAGCGCAUGCGGGUGGUUUGUUAAGUCAGAUGUGAAAGCCCGGGGCUCAACCUCGGAAUAGCAUUUGAAACUGGCAGACUAGAGUACUGUAGAGGGGGGUAGAAUUUCAGGUGUAGCGGUGAAAUGCGUAGAGAUCUGAAGGAAUACCGGUGGCGAAGGCGGCCCCCUGGACAGAUACUGACACCCAGAUGCGAAAGCGUGGGGAGCAAACAGG